UACGGAGGGAGCUAGCGUUAUUCGGAAUUACUGGGCGUAAAGCGCACGUAGGCGGACUCUUAAGUCGGGGGUGAAAGCCCAGGGCUCAACCCUGGAACUGCCUUCGAUACUGGGAGUCUUGAGUGUGGAAGAGGUUGGUGGAACUGCGAGUGUAGAGGUGAAAUUCGUAGAUAUUCGCAAGAACACCAGUGGCGAAGGCGGCCAACUGGUCCAUUACUGACGCUGAGGUGCGAAAGCGUGGGGAGCAAACAGG
rnacentral:rRNA from 1 species